rnacentral:other from 1 species
UCCCUGCUAGGUGCGUGUAUGUCUGGUAUGUUUUUGACCAACACCUUUUAUAUGGGAAUCCGCACUCUGUUAUUGGAUUUGAUGCCGCUUAUGCUUAGGCGGAACGCUGAACAUAACAGGAGGAUACCCACCUGCACAUGCAGGUUCAAAACGCUGGAUAUUACGGCUGUGUGGGGUU